GAAGGGGGUCGCGCUGCUGUCCAGGCCGAGCGAGGGGCUCAGCGGGGCGGCUUUGAGCGGCGCAUCGGUCGGGGACGGAGGGUCAUCAGAGGAGGACGCAUCCAAAAGACUGAUGUGAGGUGGAGCAAGUUUCAAAAGGAAACUGGAAGUUCUCACUCAGGCAAAACUCCUUGAGGUCCAUCACUACUGUUCCCCAGGGACUGUCUGUGGUGAAGGGAACGGAGCUGCACACUGAGCAGGAGCUGCAGAGCGUCAGGUUUAUAACCUAGUGAUGCCAUGUAGACAGAGGAAGUGGUCCAAGAACUGAGCCCUGAGGCACCCCAGUAGUUAGAUGUUACGACUUGGAUAGCUCACCUCUCCAAGAUACCUCGAAGGACCU